rnacentral:rRNA from 1 species
GAUGAACGCUGGCGGCGUGCCUAAUACAUGCAAGUAGAACGCUGAAGCUUGGUGCUUGCACCGAGCGGAUGAGUUGCGAACGGGUGAGUAACGCGUAGGUAACCUGCCUGGUAGCGGGGGAUAACUAUUGGAAACGAUAGCUAAUACCGCAUAACAGUAGAUAUUGCAUGAUAUCUGCUUGAAAGGUGCAAUUGCACCACUACCAGAUGGACCUGCGUUGUAUUAGCUAGUUGGUGAGGUAACGGCUCACCAAGGCGACGAUACAUAGCCGACCUGAGAGGGUGAUCGGCCACACUGGGACUGAGACACGGCCCAGACUCCUACGGGAGGCAGCAGUAGGGAAUCUUCGGCAAUGGACGGAAGUCUGACCGAGCAACGCCGCGUGAGUGAAGAAGGUUUUCGGAUCGUAAAGCUCUGUUGUAAGAGAAGAACGAGUGUGAGAGUGGAAAGUUCACACUG